CAAUACAAUACAAAAUAUGUAUAAAACAAUUAUAUUAUUUAUUUUUAUUCUAACAUCUUAUUGUGCACUUUCAUCAUUCAUUUAAAUCACACUCAAAAGGUCACAAAACCAAGGGAAUUUUCCUAAUCUUGCAGCACUUGAAAUCCUAAUUUCAAGUCUGUUUCCAGCUCUGGCUGACAGACAGCUGCUGACAGCCAUGUGAAGAAGAACCAGCAGAGAUUUGGGGAAAUCUUCAAUAAAACAGCGUAACUAACAGGCAGCACAUUGAGAGCGUGAUAAGAAGGACAGAGUGGCUCUGCAUCUCACUCGCCGCUCCCCAAACACGCUGCUGGCACGGCCGUUGAGCAAUGCCAUGCCAGACUCUGUUAGCACCCAAAAAAAUAAAUAAAUAAACAAAUCAAGUCGCCAUCCUCAGUAAUCCCCUAAAUUCAAGCUUAUUCAUGUUAAAUCUGGAAGAGAAAAGCCCCAACCCCGUUCUGUUUGAACCCUCCCCCUCUCGUCAGUUCCAGUGUCAGCAGUUGUUGUUUUGCGACCGGACAUCUUAUGGCACACACAGAUAUGCUGGGACAUGGACAGCUUGUCCCGCCAAAGCCUGUUUUGUCUUGUUCCACUCUUCCUCGUCCUCCAGUUUUACGGUAUCGGCGGUGGCUCAGACGCACUGAAGGAUAUCAUAGAGAGAGUGACAUUGGACAGCCUGGGUCUUCAUGGCCACGCUUGACUGGAUCCUCCAAAGGGCCUCUCCUCUGUCCACUUCACUUUCUGUCCCCUCCGCUGCGGGCCUCAGGGGCCUCGGGGACCUCCAGGGAAGGGGUGGACAGACAGACGUAGACAUUUGUGAGUGUGUGUGUGUGUGUGUCUGUGUGAAAGUCUAGCUCAGAGCGCAGGGCGUCUGGCAGGGCUGCAGUCUGUGUCGCAUUCUGACAGAACAAGUGUUGCAUGAGAUGCGGCGAGUUGUCUCAGUGAGCCUGGAGCAGGUGUUGCUCAUCGGCGACUGCACUGGAGCGAAGACCCUUGUGCAUAAGACAACCACAGCCAAACGCCCAGGCCAGGACAGUUCACACACACCCACACACACACUAAUGAUAAUGGAUUCGGGGUGGAUAGGCAGCCAGAUUCUAAUGGAUCAGAAGACAGCAGCACACUGGGACUGUUUCAGCUGCUGGGCAGGACAGAGGACGUUAAACACCCAUUAACAUGUUGACAUGCAAAGGCAUUUAGGUAACGUGUGUUGCAGGUGGCCAUUAUUAUUUAAUAUUUUAUUUUGCAUUUUAUUUUAUUUUAAUUAUAAUUUAUUUCAUUUUAUUUUAUAAUUAUCCAUUUUUUAAUUUUUAAUAUUAUUGUAUUUAAUACAUCAGGGUCAUUAUACACUGAAACAAAACUUGAAAUUGAAACUGUUACUUGAAAACAAUAACUGAAAUAAAAUAAAAUAAAAUAAAAUAAAAUAUUAUAUA
ensembl:lncRNA